UACGGAGGGUGCGAGCGUUAAUCGGAAUAACUGGGCGUAAAGGGUGCGUAGGUGGUUAAAUAAGUUAUGUGUAAAAUCCCCGGGCUCAACCUGGGCAGGUCAUAUAAAACUGUUUGACUCGAGUAUGGGAGAGGGUAGUGGAAUUUCCGGUGUAGCGGUGAAAUGCGUAGAGAUCGGAAGGAACACCAGUGGCGAAGGCGGCUACCUGGCCUAAUACUGACACUGAGGCACGAAAGCGUGGGGAGCAAACAGG
rnacentral:rRNA from 1 species